AAGUUUUUUGUAAUAAACUUUUUCAAAGCUCUGACUUGAGAAAUGUGUUUCUAAAGUGUUUGGUCUCGCUGCCCACGAUGAAGAGUGAAGAUGUUUCCUUCAGAGCAGGAAACUGGUGGAAAGACUUUGGUUCUUCUCCACUGUUGAAGACUGGUCAGUGUUUCUGACUGAGACACUGGAGAAGAAAACAUGUUCUGAGUGGA
rnacentral:snoRNA from 1 species